UACGGAGGGUGCGAGCGUUGUCCGGAAUCAUUGGGCGUAAAGGGCGCGUAGGUGGCGCGGUAAGCGGGCGGUGAAAGCUCGGGGCUCAACCCCGAGUCGGCCGUGCGAACUGCUGGGCUUGAGCACUGUAGAGGCAGGCGGAAUUCCGGGUGUAGCGGUGGAAUGCGUAGAGAUCCGGAAGAACACCGGUGGCGAAGGCGGCCUGCUGGGCAGUAGCUGACACUGAGGCGCGACAGCGUGGGGAGCAAACAGG
rnacentral:rRNA from 1 species